rnacentral:lncRNA from 1 species
AUUGUCGAUCCGGAGAGUGAUCUCACCUUCCCUCAGUCUCCUUACUUCUUCAAGACUCUGCAUUGAAGUGCACAAAUGAGCAUUUGAAUCAGAAUCAAGAAUCCAACUAGAAAAAGAGGAAACCAUUAGAUUAGUUUUAAUAACGAGCAACUCAGAUGUACCUUCAGAAGACCCAUUCUUCUUUCUGCUCUUGACAAUCGCCA